rnacentral:rRNA from 1 species
UCCAGACUCCUACGGGAGGCAGCAGUGGGGAAUAUUGGGCAAUGGGCGCAAGCCUGACCCAGCAAUGCCGCGUGAAGGAAGAAGGCCCUCGGGUUGUAAACUUCUUUUAUCAGGGACGAAGGAUGUGACGGUACCUGAUGAAUAAGCUCCGGCUAACUACGUGCCAGCAGCCGCGGUAAUACGUAGGGAGCAAGCGUUAUCCGGAUUUACUGGGUGUAAAGGGCGCGUAGGCGGGAUGGCAAGUCAGAUGUGAAAUCCAGGGGCUCAACCCCUGAACUGCAUUUGAAACUGUCGUUCUUGAGUACUGGAGAGGUUGACGGAAUUCCUAGUGUAGCGGUGAAAUGCGUAGAUAUUAGGAGGAACACCAGUGGCGAAGGCGGCCUGCUGGACCGUAACUGACGUUGAGGCUCGAAAGCGUGGGGAGCAAACAGGAUUAGAUACCCGCGUAC